rfam:Sorex araneus cont1.228986, whole genome shotgun sequence.
UCACAAUCUUAAAAUUUUUUCCAUCUUCGAGGAUUCUAGCCAAGUAUCUCUUUUGUGUGUGUUUAACGUAUACAAUAUAAUGGAAUAGAUUUUAUAGACUGGAUUUUUAUCAUAUUCCCCUUUUCCCUCUCUUGUACUAUUUGCUAUAAUAGUUGUCAGUUUUUCUUUAGUGUUGGAUUUAAUGAGAUCAAAAUAUUCAGUAAAUUAUUUGCUAAAUGUUAUGUUUGAGAUUCCAUCUUUAAGAAACAACUUAAUCAUAAAAAUCUAUCU